rnacentral:rRNA from 1 species
GACGAACGCUGGCGGCGUGCCUAAUACAUGCAAGUUGAGCGCUGAAGGUUGGUACUUGUACCAACUGGAUGAGCAGCGAACGGGUGAGUAACGCGUGGGGAAUCUGCCUUUGAGCGGGGGACAACAUUUGGAAACGAAUGCUAAUACCGCAUAAAAACUUUAAACACAAGUUUUAAGUUUGAAAGAUGCAAUUGCAUCACUCAAAGAUGAUCCCGCGUUGUAUUAGCUAGUUGGUGAGGUAAAGGCUCACCAAGGCGAUGAUACAUGGCCGACCUGAGAGGGUGAUAGGCCACAUUGGGACUGAGACACGGCCCAAACUCCUACGGGAGGCAGCAGUAGGGAAUCUUCGGCAAUGGACGAAAGUCUGACCGAGCAACGCCGCGUGAGUGAAGAAGGUUUUCGGAUCGUAAAACUCUGUUGGUAGAGAAGAACGUUGGUGAGAGUGGAAAGCUCAUCAAGUGACGGUAACUACCCAGAAAGGGACGGCUAACUACGUG